AUUGAGCGCUGGCGGAAUGCUUUACACAUGCAAGUCGAACGGCAGCACGGACUUCGGUCUGGUGGCGAGUGGCGAACGGGUGAGUAAUGUAUCGGAACGUGCCCAGUCGUGGGGGAUAACGUAGUGAAAAUUACGCUAAUACCGCAUACGAUCUAUGGAUGAAAGCGGGGGAUCGCAAGACCUCGCGCGAUUGGAGCGGCCGAUAUCAGAUUAGGGAGUUGGUGGGGUAAAGGCCCACCAAGCCAACGAUCUGUAGCUGGUCUGAGAGGACGACCAGCCACACUGGAACUGAGACACGGUCCAGACUCCUACGGGAGGCAGCAGUGGGGAAUUUUGGACAAUGGGCGAGAGCCUGAUCCAGCCAUUCCGCGUGCAGGAUGAAGGCCCUCGGGUUGUAAACUGCUUUUGUACAGAACGAAAAGGUUUCUACUAAUACUAGGAGCUCAUGACGGUACUGUAAGAAUAAGCACCGGCUAACUACGUGCCAGCCGCCGCGGUAA
rnacentral:rRNA from 1 species